CACGUGCAAAGGUAGCAUAAUCAAUUGUCCUUUAAUUGGGGACUAGAAUGAAUGGAUAAAUAAAAAUUAACUAUUCAAUUUUUAUAAAUAAAAAUUUACCUUUAGAUGAAAAGGUCUAAAUCUUAAUAAAAGACCAGAAGACCCUAUAGAGCUUUAUCUUAAAUUAUUUUUUAAAAUUUUAAUAAGAUUUGGUUGGGGCAACCUAGGAGAUACUUCCUAUAAAUUAAAAGAACUAUAUUUUAUUUCUAAAAUAUAAAAAAUUAAGCUACCUUAGGGAUAACAGGCUAAUCUUAUUUUAUAGUCCACAUACACAAUAAGGUUUAGCACCUCGAUGUUGGCUUGGAAUUCCUAUUAA
rnacentral:rRNA from 1 species